GAGGGUAUAGCUCAGCGUAGAGCACGUGCUUAGCAUGCAUGAGGUCCUGGGUUCCAUCCCCAGUGCCUCUG
rfam:Camelus ferus unplaced genomic scaffold scaffold1089, whole genome shotgun sequence.